rnacentral:rRNA from 1 species
UAGGGAAUUUUCCACAAUGGGCGAAAGCCUGAUGGAGCAACGCCGCGUGCAGGAUGAAGGCCCUUGGGUUGUAAACUGCUUUUAUAUGUGAAGACAUCCGACAGUAACAUAUGAAUAAGGGUCGGCUAACUACGUGCCAGCAGCCGCGGUCAUACGUAGGACCCAAGCGUUAUCCGGAAUUACUGGGUGUAAAGAGUUGCGUAGGUGGCAGAGUAAGUAAGAUGUGAAAGCGUCCGGCUCAACCGGAUAAACAUGUCUUAAACUGCUCAGCUAGAGAACGGGAGAGGUAGAUGGAAUUCCCAGUGUAGGAGUGAAAUCCGUAGAUAUUGGGAGGAACACCGAUGGCGUAGGCAGUCUACUGGCCCGUUUCUGACACUAAGGCACGAAAGCGUGGGGAGCAAACAGG